rnacentral:rRNA from 1 species
UAGUUUAGCGGCGGACGGGUGAGUAACGCGUGGGCAACCUGCCUCACACUGGGGGAUAACACUGGGAAACUAGUGCUAAUACCGCAUAACAUCAUGAAAGGACAUCCUUUUAUGAUCAAAGGAGUAAUCCGGUGAGAGAUGGGCCCGCGUCCAAUUAGCUAGUUGGUGAGGUAAUGGCCCACCAAGGCGACGAUUGGCAGCCGAACUGAGAGGUUGAUCGGCCACAUUGGGACUGAGAUACGGCCCAGACUCCUACGGGAGGCAGCAGUGGGGAAUAUUGCGCAAUGGGGGAAACCCUGACGCAGCAACGCCGCGUGAAGGAUGAAGGUUUUCGGAUCGUAAACUUCUUUGAUGGGGGACGAAACAAAUGACGGUACCCCAAAAACAAGCCACGGCUAACUACGUGCCAGCAGCCGCGGUAAUACGUAGGUGGCGAGCGUUGUCCGGAAUUACUGGGUGUAAAGGGCGUGUAGGCGGGAAUGCAAGUCAGAUGUGAAAUGCCGAGGCUUAACCUCGGAGCUGCAUCUGAAACUGUGUUUCUUGAGUGUCGGAGAGGAAAGUGGAAUUCCCAGUGUAGCGGUGAAAUGCGUAGAUAUUGGGAGGAACACCAGUGGCGAAGGCGACUUUCUGGACGAUAACUGACGCUGAGGCGCGAAAGCGUGGGGAGCAAACAGGAUUAGAUACCCUGGUAGUCCACGCCGUAAACGAUGGGUACUAGGUGUAGGAGGUAUCGACCCCUUCUGUGCCGCAGUUAACACAAUAAGUAUCCCACCUGGGGAGUGCGGCCGCAAGGUUGAAACUCAAAGGAAUUGACGGGGGCCCGCACAAGCAGUGGAGUAUGUGGUUUAAUUCGAAGCAACGCGAAGAACCUUACCAGGGCUUGACAU